UACAGAGGUCUCGAGCGUUAGGCGGAAUCACUGGGCUUAAAGCGUGUGUAGGCGGAUUGGUAAGUACCUUGUGAAAUCCCACAGCUUAACUGUGGAACUGCUUGGUAUACUGCCUGUCUUGAGCCAGCUAGGGGCGACCGGAACAAAUGGUGGAGCGGUGAAAUGCGUAGAUAUCAUUUGGAACGCCAAUGGUGAAAACAGGUCGCUGGGGCUGUGCUGACGCUGAGACACGAAAGCCAGGGGAGCAAACGGG
rnacentral:rRNA from 1 species